rnacentral:rRNA from 1 species
AGAGUUUGAUCCUGGCUCAGAGUGAACGCUGGCGGUAGGCCUAACACAUGCAAGUCGAACGGCAGCACAGAGGAGCUUGCUCCUUGGGUGGCGAGUGGCGGACGGGUGAGGAAUACAUCGGAAUCUACUCUGUCGUGGGGGAUAACGUAGGGAAACUUACGCUAAUACCGCAUACGACCUACGGGUGAAAGCAGGGGAUCUUCGGACCUUGCGCGAUUGAAUGAGCCGAUGUCGGAUUAGCUAGUUGGCGGGGUAAAGGCCCACCAAGGCGACGAUCCGUAGCUGGUCUGAGAGGAUGAUCAGCCACACUGGAACUGAGACACGGUCCAGACUCCUACGGGAGGCAGCAGUGGGGAAUAUUGGACAAUGGGCGCAAGCCUGAUCCAGCCAUACCGCGUGGGUGAAGAAGGCCUUCGGGUUGUAAAGCCCUUUUGUUGGGAAAGAAAUCCAGCUGGCUAAUAUCCGGUUGGGAUGACGGUACCCAAAGAAUAAGCACCGGCUAACUUCGUGCCAGCAGCCGCGGUAA